rnacentral:rRNA from 1 species
GGACCCGCACAAGUAGUGGAGCAUGUGGUUUAAUUCGAAGAUACGCGCAGAACCUUACCAACACUUGACAUGUUCGUCGCGACUCUAAGAGAUUAGAGUUUUCGGUUCGGCCGGACGAAACACAGGUGCUGCAUGGCUGUCGUCAGCUCGUGUCGUGAGAUGUUGGGUUAAGUCCCGCAACGAGCGCAACCCUCACUUUUAGUUGCCAUCAUUAAGUUGGGCACUCUGAAAGAACUGCCAGUGAUAAGCUGGAGGAAGGUGGGGAUGACGUCAAGUCCUCAUGGCCCCUUACGUGUUGGGCUACACACGUGCUACAAUGGUCGGUACAAUGGGUCGCCACCCAGCGAUGGGGCG